CCCUUAGAUGUUCUGGGCCGCACGCGCGUUACAAUGAAUCGUUCAACAGGUUUCUUCCUGAGUCGAAAGGCUUGGGUAAUCCUUUAAAUACGGUUCGUGCUAGGGAUAGAUUUUUGCAAUUAUUAAUCUUGAACGAGGAAUAUUUAGUAAACGCAGGUCAUCAGCCUGCAUUGAUUACGUCCCUGCCCUUUGUACACACCGCCCGUCGCACCUACCGAUUGAAUGGUUCGGUGAAGAUCUCGGACUUCGAUAUUUAUUCUUUAUUGAGUUUAUAUUGUGGGAAGUUAUCUAAACCUCAUCAUUUAGAGGAAGGUGAAGUCGUAACA
rnacentral:rRNA from 1 species